rnacentral:rRNA from 1 species
GACGAACGCUGGCGGCGUGCCUAAUACAUGCAAGUGGGACGCAAGGAAACACACUGUGCUUGCACACCGUGUUUUCUUGAGUCGCGAACGGGUGAGUAACGCGUAGGUAACCUGCCUAUUAGCGGGGGAUAACUAUUGGAAACGAUAGCUAAUACCGCAUAAUAUUAAUUAUUGCAUGAUAAUUGAUUGAAAGAUGCAAGCGCAUCACUAGUAGAUGGACCUGCGUUGUAUUAGCUAGUUGGUAAGGUAAGAGCUUACCAAGGCGACGAUACAUAGCCGACCUGAGAGGGUGAUCGGCCACACUGGGACUGAGACACGGCCCAGACUCCUACGGGAGGCAGCAGUAGGGAAUCUUCGGCAAUGGACGAAAGUCUGACCGAGCAACGCCGCGCGAGUGAAGAAGGGUUUCGGAUCGUAAAGCUCUGUUGUAAGUCAAGAACGUGUGUGAGAGUGGAAAGUUCACACAGUGACGGUAGCUUACCAGAAAGGGACGGCUAACUACGUG